GUUGGUCUCGAAUUCCUCAAGCUCAAGCAAUCUUCCCGCCUUGGCCUCCCAAAGUGCUGAGAUGAUGGGCAUAAGCUGCUAUGCCUGCCUGGUACCCCAGUUUUGAUAUGCAUUUUCCUGAUGGUUAAUGACGUUGAGUAUCAUGUAGUCACCGCUGCCAGCCCGUGCACUGUGUCCCCCCACUGUGCUGCCACCCUGCUCCUCCGCCUGUCACAAUGGAAGAAGAGAUUGCCACUCUGGUCAUUGACAAUGUCUCUGGCAUGUGCAAAGCUGGAUUUGCUGGGGACGACGCCCCCCGAGCUGUGUUCCCCUCCAUCCUCAGGCACCCCUGGCACCAGGGCAUGAUGGUGGGCAUGGGCCAGAAGGACUCCUAUGUGGGUGAUGAGGCCCAAAGCAAGCAUGGCAUCCUGACCCUGAAGAUUGGGACUCUGACCCCAUCAAGCAUGGCAUCAUCAUCAACUGGGAUGAUAUGAAGAUUUGGCACCACACCUUCUACAGUGAGCUGCGUGUGGCCCCGGAGGAGCACCUGGUGCUGCUGACAGAGGCCCUUGUGAACCCCAAGGCCAACAGAGAGAAGAUGACCCAGAUCAUGUUUGAGACCUUCAACACCCUGUCCAUGUACGUGGCCAUCCAGGCCGUGCUAUCUCUCUAUGCCUCUGGACGCACCACUGGCAUUGUUUUGGACCCUGGAGAUGGGGUCAUCCACACGGUGCCCAUCUGCAAGGGCUAUACCCUCCCCCACAUCAUCCUAUGUCUGGACCUGGCUGGUGGGGACCUGACUGACUACCUCAUGAAGAUCCUCACUGAGCGCGGCUACAGCUUCACCACCAUGGCUGAGUGGGAGAUCGUGGGUGACAUCAAGGAGAAGCUGUGCUAUGUCACCCUGGACUUCGAACAGGAGAUGGCCACUGCUGCAUCCUCCUCCUCCCUGGAGAAGAGCUAGGAGCUGUACAAUGGCCUGGUCAUCAUCAUCAGCAACGAGUGGUCCUGGUGUCUGGAGGCACUGUUACAGCCUUCGUUCCUAGGCAUGGAAUCUUGCAGCAUGCAUGAGACCACCUUCAACUCCAUCAUGAAGUGUGAUGUGGACAUCUGCAAAUACCUACAUGUCAACAAGGUGCUGUUCGGUGCCACCACCAUGUACCCAGGCAUCGCCAACAGGAUGCAGAAGGUGAUCACCGCCCUGGCACCUGGCACCAUGAAGAUCAAGAUCAUUGCGCCCCCAGAGCGCAAGUACUCUGUGUGCAUCCGUGGCUCCAUCCUGGCCUCACUGUCCGCCUUCCAGCAGAUGUGGAUUAGCAAGCAGGAGUACAAUGAGUUGGUCCCUCCAUCGUCCACUGCAUAUGCUUCUAAAUGGACUGCAAACAGAUGCAUAGCAUUUGCUGCAUGGCUUAAUUCAGAAGCAUAAAUUUGCCCCUGCCAAAUGCAUACACUUCAUGCUAGCCUCAUGAAACUGGAAUAAGCCUUCAAAAAGAAAUUGUCCUUGAAGCUUGUAUCUGAUAUCAGCAGUUGAUUGUAGAACUUGUUGCUGAUUUUGACCUUAUGUUCAAGUUAACUGUUCCCCCUUGGUAUCUGUAGAAUACCUAUCCAUAUCUUUGAUUUCACCCCUUAGUACAUGUGGCUUGGUCACUUUGUGGCUAAUGUAAGAACGUGCUUGUGGAAGACAAGUCUGUGGCUUGGUGAGUCUACAUGGCCAGCAGUCUCCGAUCUGUGCAGGGUAUUAAUGUGUCAGGGCUGAGUGUUCUGGGAUUUCUCUAGAGGCUGGCAAGGGCUCCUGAACCAGUGGUUUCUGUCCCGCCAGUCUGUCAGGGUUGGAAAAGUCCAAGCCACAGGACCCAGUUUCCUUUCUUAGCUGAUGUUUUCCUGCCAGAACACCGUGGGCUGUUAACUUGCCUUGAGUUGGAAGCAGUUUGUAUUUUCACCUGUAAAUGUAUUAAUCCUUUUAAUUUAUGUAAGGUUUUUUUGUAUACAAUUCUCAAUUCUUGAAAGAGAUGACAACAAAUUUUGGUUUUCUACUGUUACAUGAGAAUAUUAGGCCCCAGCAACUUGUCAUUGUGUAAGGAAAAAUAAAAGUGCUGCCGUAAAAAAAAAAAAAAAUCUUU